rnacentral:piRNA from 1 species
UGGAACAUGGCGCAAUGCCCACAGAA